rnacentral:rRNA from 1 species
UGGGCGUAAAGCGCGCGCAGGCGGUCUUUUAAGUCUGAUGUGAAAGCCCCCGGCUCAACCGGGGAGGGUCAUUGGAAACUGGGAGACUUGAGUACAGAAGAGGAGAGUGGAAUUCCACGUGUAGCGGUGAAAUGCGUAGAUAUGUGGAGGAACACCAGUGGCGAAGGCGACUCUCUGGUCUGUAACUGACGCUGAGGCGCGAAAGCGCGGGGAGCAAACAGGAUUAGAUACCCUGGUAGUCCACGCCGUAAACGAUGAGUGCUAGGUGUUAGGGGUUUCGAUGCCCUUAGUGCCGAAGUUAACACAUUAAGCACUCCGCCUGGGGAGUACGACCGCAAGGUUGAAACUCAAAGGAAUUGACGGGGGCCCGCACAAGCAGUGGAGCAUGUGGUUUAAUUCGAAGCAACGCGAAGAACCUUACCAGGUCUUGACAUCCUUUGACAACCCUAGAGAUAGGGCUUUCCCCUUCGGGGGACAAAGUGACAGGUGGUGCAUGGUUGUCGUCAGCUCGUGUCGUGAGAUGUUGGGUUAAGUCCCGCAACGAGCGCAACCCUUGAUCUUAGUUGCCAGCAUUUAGUUGGGCACUCUAAGGUGACUGCCGGUGACAAACCGGAGGAAGGUGGGGACGACGUCAAAUCAUCAUGCCCCUUAUGACCUGGGCUACACACGUGCUACAAUGGAUGGUACAAAGAGCAGCGAAACCGCGAGGUCGAGCCAAUCUCAUAAAGCCAUUCUCAGUUCGGAUUGUAGGCUGCAACUCGCCUACAUGAAGCCGGAAUUGCUAG